UAGCAUGGGGAUCUGCCCGAUAGAGGGGGAUAACUACUGGAAACGGUGGCUAAUACCGCAUAAUGUCUACGGACCAAAGCAGGGGCUCUUCGGACCUUGCACUAUCGGAUGAACCCAUAUGGGAUUAGCUAGUAGGUGGGGUAAAGGCUCACCUAGGCGACGAUCUCUAGCUGGUCUGAGAGGAUGAUCAGCCACACUGGGACUGAGACACGGCCCAG
rnacentral:rRNA from 1 species